rnacentral:misc_RNA from 1 species
AAGGAUCAUUACCAAUUUUAUCGGGGGACUUCGGUCCCUGUCUGAACCCUUGUCUUUUGCGUACUAUUUGUUUCCUUGGUGGGCUUUGCCUGCCGAUAGGACACUAUAAAACCUUUUGUAAUUGCAGUCAGCGUCAGAAAAACAUAAUAAUUACAACUUUCAACAACGGAUCUCUUGGUUCUG